GGGGUAAGGUGACCUGGCUUUAACAUCUAUCAGUCCUUUGUCAGCAGGGCUGACUUCCCAUCUGACUUAGCUAGUUGGAAAGGUGGCCCCUUCCUCCCUCACUGAUCCAUGUGUGGCCUGCCUCAAGCUGUAUACUAAGGCAAAGAAGCUGGUCUUCUAAGCUGUAUCUGGGAUCUUCUUUGCUCAAGGGUAUCUGAAGAGUUAGGUCAUUUUAAUAGAAACUCUGAACUUGGAACGGAAGUUUGAAGCAGUCUAAAUACCUAUUUUUAUAAAUGAGAAGAGACUGUAACAUGCAGACUACGCUUUC
ensembl:misc_RNA 7SK 7SK RNA